UACAGAGGUCUCAGGCGUUGUUCGGAUUUAUUGGGCGUAAAGGGCGCGUAGGCGGCGGGGUAAGUCGGGUGUGAAAUCUCAGGGCUCAACCCUGAAACUGCACUUGAUACUGCUCUGCUUGAGGACUGGAGAGGAGACUGGAAUUCACGGUGUAGCAGUGAAAUGCGUAGAUAUCAGGAGGAAUACCGAUGGCGAAGGCAGGUCUCUGGGUCGAUACUGACGCUCAUGCACGAAAGCGUGGGGAGCAAACAGG
rnacentral:rRNA from 1 species